GACGAACGCUGGCGGCGUGCUUAACACAUGCAAGUCGAACGGAGUGGCGAACGGGUGAGUAACACGUGGGUGACCUGCCCUGCACUUCGGGAUAAGCCUGGGAAACUGGGUCUAAUACCGGAUAGUGUGGGAUGGGCCCGGGGCCUAUCAGCUUGUUGGUGGGGUAAUGGACAACCAAGGCGGCGAGGGGUAGCCGGCCUGGGAGGGUGGACGGCCACAUUGGGCCUGAGACACGGAGCAGACUCCAACGGGAGGCAGCAGGGGGGAAUAGUGCACAGUGGGCGGAAGCCUGAUGCGGCGACGCCGCGGGGGUGAUGACGGCCUUCGGGUUGUAAACUCCUUUCACCAUCGACGCGGUAGAUGGAGAAGAAGCACCGGCUAACUACGUGCCAGCCGCCGCGGUAAUAC
rnacentral:rRNA from 1 species